rnacentral:tRNA from 1 species
UGUCUUGGGGAGAUUAUUUCUCCAUUUCUGGUUUACAAGACCAGAGUAAUUUGUUAUACUACAAAGAC